UUAAUAAUUAAAGAUAGCUGCUCCAACAAUGAUCAACAAAAUGAAUAGCACCACGAUCAAAGCGAAGGAGCUCCCGAAACCGUUUGAGUAACCAGAGUUUCCACUGUAUCCACCAGAAUUGUAGAAUCCCAU
rnacentral:ncRNA from 2 species